rnacentral:lncRNA from 1 species
AGUGUUCAGUGUUUGUUAGUGCUUUGGAUGUUAGCUAUUCUAACAGGAAGGUAGUGGUAUUUCAUUGUUGUUUUAAUGUCCAUUGCCCUGACAACAUAUGAUGUGAGAUAUUCCCAUGUUUUGUUUUGUUUUGUUUUGCCAUCUGUAUAUUUUAUUUGAUGAAAUGGCUGUUAAAGUUUUUGGCUCAUUUUGUUGAGUGGGCUUUUGAUUUCUUGUCAAGUUUUAAGAGUUUUUUUUAUAUAUAUAUAUUUUGGAUAACAGUCCUUUAUCAAGUGUGUCUUUUGAAAAUAUUUUCUCCCAGUCUGUGGCUUAUCUUUUCAUCCUCCAGACAUUGUGUAAUACAGAGCAAGUUUUAAAAUAAUAAUGAAGUCCUGCUUAUUAAUUAUUUAUUUCAUGGAUCAUGUUUCUGGUGCUGUAUCUAAAAAGUCAUACCCAUGUCCAAGCUUGUUUACGGUUUUUCCUAUAUUAUCUUUUAGGAGAUUUAUAGUUUUGCAUAUAACAUAUAUAUCUGUAAUAUAUUUUGAGAUACUUUUGUGAAGGGAGUAAGAUCUGCAUCUAGAUUUUUUAUUUUUUAUUUUUUGCAUGUAUGUAUCCAGUUGUUCCACCGUCAUUUGCGGAAAAUAUUUUUUUUUUCCCAUUGUAGUGCCUUUGCUCCUUUGACAAAGAUCAUUUGACUAUAUUUAUAUAGGUCUAUUUCUGGGCUCUGUAUCCUGUUCCAUUGAUCUAUAUGUUUGUUGUUUCUCCAAUACAGUGUUUUGAGUACUGUAGCUUUAUAGUAAGUUUUGAACUCAGGUAGUGUUAGCCCUUGAACUUGGGUCUUCUCCUUCAAUACUGUGUUGACUAUUCUGGGUCCUCUGACUCUCCAUAUGAAACGUAGAAUGUGUUUGUCAAUAUCCACAAAAUUAAUUGCAGAGAUUUUGAUUGAGAAUGCAUUGAAUCUAUAGAUCAAGUUGAGAAGGAUUGAUAUCUUGACAAUAUGGAAUCUUUAUUCAUAAAAAUGUAAUAUCUAUUUAUUGAUUCGUUCAUCACAGUUUUGUAAUUUUACACACAGAUCUUACAUAUAUUUUGUUAGAUUCUGAUAGCUAUUUUAAAAAGUCAUUUAAAAGUGCAUGUAAUAUGUAUCAGUAAAUCAAAACAAAUUUAGGAUUAAUAAGAAGAGAUUUUAUUCAAGAAGAGUAUUUAAUUAAGAAUAAAUAUUAAACCAAAAUAUCUUCAAGCAUCUUAAAAAUGAGAUAUAAAAUAACUUUUAUAGAGAGAAUAAAACAAGACUAGAAGGAACCAGGAUCAGGAAUUUGGAUAAGAAAUGUUUGCCUGAGGUCUUUUUAUAUAUAGUGGGGGCAGCUCUGCCUUGACCUAACAAUGUGUCUAUGUUCAAAAUCCUUUGGGUAUUUACCAACAGCAUAUUAAUGUGAGGCAAAUAUAAAUUCUGAAGGUCAAUAAUUCAGUACAUCAUGGAUAUAUUAGUCAAAUUUCUUUAGAGAAAAAGAUCCACCAGGGCAUAUGUACAUACAUAUAAAUAUAAAUUUGUAUGUGUUUAUUUAUUUAACUAAUUUUAAGGAAUUAGGUCAUGUGGUUAUAGAGGGUGGAAGUCAAAAAUCUGCAGGAAGGAAAACCAGGAAAGAACUGACAUUGGAGUCCUAACUGCUGGCAGAUUUCUUUUCUCCUCAGUCAUUUUUUCCAUUCAGGCCUUGAGUUGAUUAGAUAAGGCUCAUUUAUAUUAUGGAGGGGAAUCAGCUUUAAUCAAUAUCCAUAAUCUCAAUGUUAACCUCACCCCAAAAAACCUGAAAGAAGCUUUCAGCAUAAUGCUUGACCACACAUAUCUGGGCAUCAUGGCCCAGCCAGGUCUGACACAUAAGAUCAAUCAUCAAAAUGAAAAAUGAAGACUUUUUUUUUGACAGACCCUCUUCAUUGUGACUUAGUAAUGUGCACAAAACUAUCUGAGAUAUUAAUUAUAUUGUCAGACUUUCAGAUGGAUCUGUUUAGUAUUCCAAUUCAUUAGACCUUAGAUAAUGGACAUGAAUUUAUGAUUUUAGCCAUCUUCCAGAAUGGUUACAGAUACAGGUGGCCAUCUACCUUCCUUUGAGAAACAGUGUUAGUGAUUUUCUUCUGACAUUCAGUGUUUAAUUAACGGCUUUAUGAAGUCAUGGAGAUUUUAAGCACCUGCAAUUGUUCAUCACAGUCAUGUUUAAUAGUCUGGAAAUAAUAUGUUGUGUUCUAUAAUGUUCUUUGAAUCCAUUACUUUCUUUUACUUUUUUGUCACUAAUUUACUAGGAUCAUUAUGCUUACAUUUUUUACCACUCUGAGUAAUAACACUUGUGAAAUGUGAACUCUAAAUAUAUUCCUCUGUGGAUGUUCUUUUAGCUGCUUAUAUAUUCGAUGCUCAGUUAAGAUUGUCAAUGAAUUAAUUAAAUAUUUUAAUUCAUAUAAUCAAAUUUAUAUUCAUUUAAUAAAUUAUCCUGGAAAAGAGAGAAGACAGUACUGGAAAAACAGGUGAAAUCCAAAUAAAAUCUGGAGCUUAGUUAAUAGUAAUGUACUGAUAUCAUUUUUUAAACGAUAUAUACAUAUAAAUAUAUGCACACUGUUAUAAUGAAGAGUGUUGAUAAUAUGAGAAACUUGAUGAGUAUUCAAAACUCUAUGUAUAACAUUGUUAUUUUUCCAUUCCAAAAUAAAAUAUUACAAAGAUUUGCAUAUACUUGUAUGUAUAUAGGUAUGUAUAUACAUAUUUACUAUGGGCUUCAGAUGCAUUUUUUGAACUUACUCCACAUUAUCAUCAUUUACAUCUGUUUCCUUCACAAAAGAAUUAUCUAUAUUAUGUAUGGUUUGUUUAAAUUUUGUAGAUGCUUGAACCUAUUACCAACAAUGACCAUUUUAUUUCUUGUUUCUUUAGUAGAUUGAUUCCAAAAACAGCCCUGACUUCUGAGCCCACUUUGUUUCUAUAUCUUCAACAAUGUUUCUUUGCAGCUUCUCUCAUGAUGAGUUUAUUUCCACAUUCCAAAUUUCUGCUCUGGCCUUAUGAUUUGCUUUUGCCAGUAGCAUGUAGCAGAAAUACUGUUGUGCCACUUCCAAAUAUAAGCUUCAAAAAGCUUGGCAUGGUUCUUUUCACUCUAUUGGCAAAUUGCUUCUGCCAUGGGAAAAGAUUUUGGCUAAUAUAAUGGAUCCUGAGAAACACACUGUCUGAUUCCUCAGUUAACUCAGAGGACAGUCAACUGCCAGUUAUGUAUCAGAGGCCUUCUUAGAAUAGCUGGUCUCCAGCCAGACAUAGAGCUAACCACUGAAAUAUAAUGAGUCCAACUGAGGUGAGCCAAACAGUACUUGCUCAAAUUAUCUAUGGAUUCAUCAAAAUUAACAAACAGUACUUACUUAUUGCUAAUGAGGAAUAAGUAACAGAAAUGACUUCUUAUCAUACACAUAUUGGGUUUUUUUUUUACAUUUUAGCAAACUUUUUGUGUAUUAUUUCAAAUAAUUAAGCAGAUUCAUUUCUAUACUCUGACAAUUAAUUUUAAGCAUAUAGUGUUAGAUUCUCCAUCUUUUGGUUACUGAAAAAUCAAACUGUUUUAUCCAUUAAUUUAUUAAUGUAUUGGUUUAUAUUUAACAGAUCUUUCAAUGAUAAGCCAUCUAUACAUUCUUGAAAUAUAGAGCAGAGUUCAUUUUGUCCAUUUAAGAAAUAAAUUGUGGUUCCAAUUAUAUAAUCCUUUAUUUAGAAUUUGUUUUUCAUUGUCAUUUAAAGAUAAAUAGGGAGUUCCCGUGGUGGCGCAGUGGUUAGCGAAUCUGACUAGGAACCAUGAGGUUGCGGGUUCGGUCCCUGCCCUUGCUCAGUGGGUUAACAAUCCGGCGUUGCGGUGAGCUGGGGUGUAGGUUGCAGACGUGGCUCAGAUCCCGCGUUGCUGUGGCUCUGGCGUAGGCCGGUGGCUACAGCUCCGAUUCGACCCCUAGCCUGGGAACCUCCAUAUGCCGCAGGAGCGGCCCAAAGAAAUAGCAAAAAGAC